UGCACUGUGACAGGGAGACUGGCUUCUUGGGCAGAGUUGUUCACGAGGAAGUGCGGGCUGGGUCAGGGCACAAAGGACUGGUCCGAGGGUAACCAGGAGCGAGAAAGGAGGAGCUGCUUCUUUCAGUGUGUGUGCUCUGGAAGAGUUGAGGAGGAAACUGUGAAUUUCAUUUUUGGGAAGAAUGCAGAAUAA
rnacentral:lncRNA from 1 species